rnacentral:rRNA from 1 species
AUUGAACGCUGGCGGCAGGCUUAACACAUGCAAGUCGAGCGGGGGAAGGUAGCUUGCUACUGGACCUAGCGGCGGACGGGUGAGUAAUGCUUAGGAAUCUGCCUAUUAGUGGGGGACAACAUCUCGAUAGGGAUGCUAAUACCGCAUACGUCCUACGGGAGAAAGCAGGGGAUCUUCGGACCUUGCGCUAAUAGAUGAGCCUAAGUCGGAUUAGCUAGUUGGUGGGGUAAAGGCCUACCAAGGCGACGAUCUGUAGCGGGUCUGAGAGGAUGAUCCGCCACAAUGGGACUGAGACACGGCCCAGACUCCUACGGGAGGCAGCAGUGGGGAAUAUUGGACAAUGGGGGGAACCCUGAUCCAGCCAUGCCGCGUGUGUGAAGAAGGCCUUAUGGUUGUAAAGCACUUUAAGCGAGGAGGAGGCUACUUUAGUUAAUACCUAGAGAUAGUGGACGUUACUCGCAGAAUGAGCACCGGCUAACUCUGUGCCAGCCGCCGCCGUAA